GCGCCGCCGUCGGUAAGCUUCGGUUUUCCGUAAUUUUUUGGCCCCCCGAGGGCCGUGGGUUUGUUUAUUCACAGAAACCAAUGCGAGUGUGGCCGAAUUCGGUCGAAAACGGCCGAAAACGACCAACCUGAGGCAAACCGCCGCCGCAAGCGGCGGCGCCGUCGCCGGAGCACGGCGGAGCUGCCGUGCCGGAGUUGCGAUAUUGGUCGAUACUGUAACGGCCCCGAAAAUUUAA
rnacentral:lncRNA from 1 species